rnacentral:rRNA from 1 species
UACGUAGGGCGCAAGCGUUGUCCGGAAUUAUUGGGCGUAAAGAGCUCGUAGGCGGUUUGUCGCGUCUGCUGUGAAAACCUGAGGCUCAACCUCGGGCUUGCAGUGGGUACGGGCAGACUAGAGUGCGGUAGGGGUGACUGGAAUUCCUGGUGUAGCGGUGAAAUGCGUAGAUAUCUGGAGGAACACCGGUGGCGAAGGCGGCAUCCUGGACCAAUAUUGACGCUGAGGAGCGAAAGCCAGGGGAGCAAACGGG